rnacentral:ncRNA from 2 species
AGCUUAUAAAGAAAGACGGAGGGAUUAGACCCGACGAAGUCUUAGCAACCUGUGCUGACAAGGUGCUACAUUCUACUCGAACGCUGCGGCUGUUCCUGAAAGAUAAGUU